CCUGCCUUUGAAGGAGACCAGACUCCGGCUCCGCCCGGCCCGUGCCGGGUGGUCUGCGGCCCCGAGUCGGUGACCAAGCCCUCCGAGUGAUCGGCCUGCCCUCGGGUGCACCCGCGGGUCCCAACGUGGGGGACCCCUCCAUCCGCAAAGCCAGGGUCCUGAAGAUCGCUCUGGGAAAAGGGAAGGAUGCCGCUCUUCUUCCGGAAGCGGAAACCCAGUGAGGAGGCUCGGAAACGCCUGGAGUACCAGAUGUGUUUGGCAAAAGAAGCUGGGGCAGAUGACAUUCUCGACAUCUCUAAAUGUGAGCUCUCAGAGGUGCUGAUCGUCCACACAAAUCACCUCACUUCGCUGCUUCCCAAAUCCUGCAGCCUCCUGAGUCUGGCAACCAUCAAGGUACUGGGCCCUCCUCCCAG
rnacentral:sRNA from 1 species